rnacentral:rRNA from 1 species
UACGUAGGGGGCAAGCGUUGUCCGGAAUCAUUGGGCGUAAAGAGCGUGUAGGCGGCCUGGUAAGUCCGCUGUGAAAGUCCAGGGCUCAACCCUGGAAUGCCGGUGGAAACUGUCAGGCUCGAGUCCGGAAGAGGCGAGUGGAAUUCCUGGUGUAGCGGUGAAAUGCGCAGAUAUCGGGAGGAACACCAAUUGCGAAGGCAGCUCGCUGGGACGUUACUGACGCUGAGACGCGAAAGCGUGGGGAGCAAACAGG